AGUAUGUGACUAAAUAAAAAGAUACGGUCCGUCUAGACUGCCUCUGGAGCAGGCUGACCCUCCGUGGAUACCCGAUAAUGGCUGAUGGAGGAGUCCUGAAGCCCUCCCUCCCCCUCAAGAUCCGAUUCAAAUCACAGUGGGUAUGUUGGGGACAGGUGAAAACCAAAGCCGAAGGCUCCAGGACCCAGGCUUAAAGAGCCCUUCCCUGCUGUCACUCAGAUGCUUCCCAGCACCUGCCUCUGAGUGGCAAUCUCUGUGCCAGCAACCCGGGCAGGGACAGGGAAAGGAACAGGGAUGUGGGGCUUGACACACUUUCAGAUUGGUGGUAGACCCAGCCCCAUGGCCCAUGGAAGGAAGAGCAGCCUGGCAGUCACAGGCAGCUCCGAACUCAUUCUGUAGUUGGGCUGUGGGGUUGGGAGGAAGGGUGCUGAAGGGUAGCUUCCAUACAGUUGCUGAGCUGUCCUCAAUUUUACUGAGGCUGUGCCUAGAGGUGGGAGAGGGUCUUCACUGAAAGGUGUGCUCACUGUCUGCAUUCUGUUUUCUCUCUUUGCCCUGUUCCUGCAACCACAAGAGGCCAUGGCAAGUCUUGACCCCACCUCUCUCCCACUCCCAACACACACACCCCCAGCCCUCAGACAUCUCAGCGCACGUGCAGGGUUUUGUAGGGGGUGGAGGGAGACUCAAAGCAGAUAUCACUUAAAAUGAAAGUAUACUUUUUAUAAUUUUUCUUUUUUAAAACUUUGUGAAAGUAUUUCAGAUACAUAUUUUAGUGUCAAGGCAGAAUAGUAUAUAGCCACCAAAAAAAAGUAUUGUGUAUUUUAUGUCACAAUAAAGGCUUCCUCUCAAA
rnacentral:lncRNA from 1 species